rnacentral:misc_RNA from 1 species
UACGGAGGGAGCUAGCGUUGUUCGGAAUUACUGGGCGUAAAGCGCGCGUAGGUGGCUUUGCAAGUCAGAGGUGAAAUCCCGGGGCUCAACCCCGGAACUGCCUUUGAAACUGCAUCGCUAGAGUCUUGGAGAGGUAAGUGGAAUUCCGAGUGUAGAGGUGGAAUUCGUAGAUAUUCGGAAGAACACCAGUGGCGAAGGCGACUUACUGGACAAGUACUGACACUGAGGUGCGAAAGCGUGGGGAGCAAACAGG